rnacentral:rRNA from 1 species
AUGGUGUAUGCACUUUUCUCUAUGCUUACCAAGGGGUCAAUAAAUCGCCAGCAAACCGGGGCGGAAGGGUUUGUUUGCUAUGCGGCGGUGUCCUUGGCUUCUGUCGCGGGAGGUGUCACGUCCAUUUUAUCGACCUUGGCAUCUGCUGCUGGAGGUGUCACGUCCAUUUUAUCGACCUUGGCUUCUGUUGCUGGAGGCGUCACGUCCAUUUUGUCGACGUUUUCCUCGGCGGCGCUUUCGUACUCCGACAGCAGGUCCAUGAACUCGUUGAGCAGCCGCUGGACUUUGCGGUUUGUGGCCAUCGAAGGAAGUAUGUCUUCCCUGAGAAGUUUAUGUUUCUUCAUUCCCUGCAAAAGUAGCCACCAACAAGUUUAUUGA